GCCUGUGUGGCAUAGUGGUUUGAGUGCUGGUCUACCACUCUGGAGACCAGGGGUCAAUUCUCCAUUCAGCCA